rnacentral:rRNA from 1 species
AUUGAACGCUGGCGGCAUGCCUUACACAUGCAAGUCGAACGGUAACAGGUCUUCGGAUGCUGACGAGUGGCGAACGGGUGAGUAAUGCAUCGGAACGUGCCCAGUAGUGGGGGAUAGCCCGGCGAAAGCCGGAUUAAUACCGCAUACGACCUGAGGGUGAAAGGGGGGGAUCGCAAGACCUCUCGCUAUUGGAGCGGCCGAUGUCAGAUUAGCUAGUUGGUGGGGUAAAGGCCUACCAAGGCGACGAUCUGUAGUUGGUCUGAGAGGACGACCAGCCACACUGGGACUGAGACACGGCCCAGACUCCUACGGGAGGCAGCAGUGGGGAAUUUUGGACAAUGGGCGCAAGCCUGAUCCAGCAAUGCCGCGUGCAGGAAGAAGGCCUUCGGGUUGUAAACUGCUUUUGUCAGGGAAGAAAUCUUCUGGGUUAAUACCUCGGGAGGAUGACGGUACCUGAAGAAUGAGCACCGGCUAACUACGUGCCAGCCGCCGCCGUAAUAC